UGUUUAUCAAAAACAUCGCCUCUUGCAAAACUAACAAAUAAGAGGUCCCGCCUGCCCUGUGACUAUAAGUUUAACGGCCGCGGUAUUUUGACCGUGCGAAGGUAGCGCAAUCACUUGUCUUUUAAAUGGAGACCUGUAUGAAUGGCACGACGAGGGCUUAGCUGUCUCCUCUUUCAAGUCAAUGAAAUUGAUCCCCCCGUGCAGAAGCGGGGAUGACACCAUAAGACGAGAAGACCCUAUGGAGCUUUAGACACCAAAGCAGAUUAUGUUAAACACCCCUAAACAAAGGGCUAAACCAGAUAAUCCCUGCCCUAAUGUCUUUGGUUGGGGCGACCGCGGGGAAACACAAAACCCCCACGUGGAAUGGGAACACCCCCUCCUACAGAUGAGAGCUCCCGCUCUAACAACCAGAACUUCUGACCAAUAAGAUCCGGCAACGCCGAUCAACGGACCGAGUUACCCUAGGGAUAACAGCGCAAUCCCCUUUUAGAGCCCAUAUCGGCAAGGGGGUUUACGACCUCGAUGUUGGAUCAGGACAUCCUAAUGGUGCAGCCGCUAUUAAGGUUCGUUUGUUCAACGAUUAAAGUCCUACGUGAUCUGAGUUCA
rnacentral:rRNA from 1 species